rnacentral:rRNA from 1 species
AGAGUUUGAUCCUGGCUCAGGACGAACGCUGGCGGCACGCCUAACACAUGCAAGUCGAACGGAGAUGAUUUGAGUUUACUUAGAUCAUCUUAGUGGCGGACGGGUGAGUAACACGUGAGCAACCUGCCUUUGAGAGAGGGAUAGCUUCUGGAAACGGAUGGUAAUACCUCAUAACAUACAGAUACCGCAUGGUGACUGUAUCAAAGAUUUAUCACUCAAAGAUGGGCUCGCGUCUGAUUAGAUAGUUGGUGAGGUAACGGCUCACCAAGUCGACGAUCAGUAGCCGGACUGAGAGGUUGAACGGCCACAUUGGGACUGAGACACGGCCCAGACUCCUACGGGAGGCAGCAGUGGGGAAUAUUGCACAAUGGGGGAAACCCUGAUGCAGCGAUGCCGCGUGGAGGAAGAAGGUUUUCGGAUUGUAAACUCCUGUCUUAAAGGACGAUAAUGACGGUACUUUAGGAGGAAGCUCCGGCUAACUACGUGCCAGCAGCCGCGGUAAUACGUAGGGAGCGAGCGUUGUCCGGAAUUACUGGGUGUAAAGGGAGCGUAGGCGGGACGGCAAGUCAGAUGUGAAAUACAUGGGCUCAACCCAUGGGCUGCAUUAGAAACUGCUGUUCUUGAGUGAAGUAGAGGUAAGCGGAAUUCCUGGUGUAGCGGUGAAAUGCGUAGAUAUCAGGAGGAACACCGGUGGCGAAGGCGGCUUACUGGGCUUUUACUGACGCUGAGGCUCGAAAGCGUGGGGAGCAAACAGGAUUAGAUACCCUGGUAGUCCACGCUGUAAACGAUGAAUACUAGGUGUCGGAAAGCACAGCUUUUCGGUGCCGCCGCAAACGCAUUAAGUAUUCCACCUGGGGAGUACGUUCGCAAGAAUGAAACUCAAAGGAAUUGACGGGGACCCGCACAAGCGGUGGAGCAUGCGGUUUAAUUCGAAGCAACGCGAAGAACCUUACCAAGUCUUGACAUCCUUCUGACCGGACAGUAAUGUGUCCUUUCCUUCGGGACAGAAGUGACAGGUGGUGCAUGGUUGUCGUCAGCUCGUGUCGUGAGAUGUUGGGUUAAGUCCCGCAACGAGCGCAACCCUUAUCCCCAGUAGCCAGCAUUUCGGGUGGGCACUCUGAGGAGACUGCCAGGGAUAACCUGGAGGAAGGUGGGGAUGACGUCAAAUCAUCAUGCCCCUUAUGACUUGGGCUACACACGUGCUACAAUGGCGUAAACAAAGGGAAGCAAGACCGUGAGGUGGAGCAAAUCCCAAAAAUAACGUCUCAGUUCGGACUGUAGUCUGCAACCCGACUACGCGAAGCUGGAAUCGCUAGUAAUCGCAGAUCAGAAUGCUGCGGUGAAUACGUUCCCGGGUCUUGUACACACCGCCCGUCACACCAUGGGAGUUGGAAAUGCCCGAAGUCAGUGACCCAACCGCAAGGAGGGAGCUGCCGAAGGCAGGUUCGAUAACUGGGGUGAAGUCGUAACAAGGUA